GACAUAGGGGGCAAGCGUUGUCCGGAAUCACUGGGCGUAAAGGGAGCGUAGGCGGAAGAUUAAGUUAAGUGUGAAAGCCUUGGGCUCAACCCCCGGACUGCAUUGGAAACUGUUGGCCUGGAGUACCGGAGGGGUAAGCGGAAUUCCUAGUGUAGCGGUGAAAUGCGCAGAUAUCAGGAGGAACACCGAUGGCGAAGGCAGCUCGCUGGGACGGUACUGACGCUGAGGCGCGAAAGCGUGGGGAGCAAACAGG
rnacentral:rRNA from 1 species